rnacentral:tRNA from 1 species
CAAAGAGUAGUUUAGUUUCAGAAUACUAGCUUUGGGAGUUAGCGGUGGGGGUUUGAAUCCCCUCUCUUUGA